CUAAGAUAAGAAAAGAGACAUAGUCUGAUGAAUUUUCUCCUAGGAUCAAAAUCUUAGUCUGAUGAAUCUUUCUCCUAAGAUAGAAGACCUAGUCUGAUGAACUUUCUCCUAGGAUCAAAAUCUUAGUCUGAUGAAUCUUUCUCCUAAGAUAAGAAAAGAGACCUAGUAUGAUGAAUUUUCUCCUAGGAUAGAAGUCUUAGUCUGAUAAAUCUUUCUCCUAAGAUAGAAAACCUAGUCCGAUGAAUUUUCUCCUAGGAUAAUAAUUUUAAAAAAAAGGAAGUCUGAAUUUGAAAAAGGGGGG
rnacentral:lncRNA from 1 species